CCUACGGGAGGCAGCAGUAAGGAAUAUUGGUCAAUGGAGGCAACUCUGAACCAGCCAUGCCGCGUGCAGGAAGACGGCCCUAUGGGUUGUAAACUGCUUUUGAACUAGAGAAAACCUUGGUACGUGUACCGAGUUGAUAGUAUAGUUAGAAUAAGCAUCGGCUAACUUCGUGCCAGCAGCCGCGGUAAGACGAAGGAUGCAAGCGUUAUCCGGAUUCAUUGGGUUUAAAGGGUGCGUAGGCGGACUGAUAAGUCAGUGGUGAAAUCUCUCAGCUUAACUGAGAAACUGCCAUUGAUACUGUUAGUCUAGAGUACAGAUGAUGUGGGCGGAAUAUGACAUGUAGUGGUGAAAUACUUAGAUAUGUCAUAGAACACCGAUUGCGAAGGCAGCUCACAAAACUGUAACUGACGCUGAGCACGAAGUAGNGGAGUACAACAGAUAGUAUACCUCGUAGUCGUCGACCGUAACG
rnacentral:rRNA from 1 species